AGCAGCAAGCUCCGUAGCUCUGGAAGUGGCAGUUAGGUGUCCAUCCAAGGAGUCUGGUGAUGUGAAAGUCAGUCAGCUUGAUGUGCCGAUUUCAGGAGAUGAUACACUUUUGACAAAAAUGGAUGCUUCUCAGAGUAGCAUGGAACCUGUUGGAAUAGAUUCAUGUAAAGCACCUAUAACAAAUGUUGCUCCCACAAUUGAGGUUACAAGUGAUACUCAGUCAUCAGAACUUCAGUCUUCAAGAAGUGAGAGUGUACAGUUAACCCAACCAACAUUUCAAGCUUUAGAAACUGCCCCAGUUUCAGAUUUGCGAAUCAAUGAGGAAAGUGGGGCGAAGGUAGAGGAGAUUACAAAUGCUUCUUUGGGAGCUACACAAGGUGAUACAUCGAAUAUAAUCUCUGAGACUCAAAAUCUGGAAAGCAAAAUAGUUUCUGCUGUGUCUAAUAUGGAAACAUGUAUUGCCACUCUAGAUUCUGGUGAUACAAGUAAUUUAGCAUCAUCAACAUUGGAAACUAAUCAGACUUCUGAUGCUGCCAAAGUUGGAAGUCCAGUUGAGAAGGAAUGUUGUGGAAAGCUGGAGGAGGUUCCCGGAGUUGAUACAUCUGAGAGUCCAAAAAUUAAUUCAUAUGUUCAAGACAUAGCUGAGACUGAUAAAUUUACUCAGGAAUCUCUCGAAGGUAAAGAUGCGAUUCACCAUGUUUCUGAAAAGUGUGGUGACGCAGAGGAUUGUAUGGUCCAUAGCACUAGGGAAGCAGUGCGUUCUGUCGAAGAUAAUGUGAGAGUAGACGAUGCAGUGGUGGAAAAUAGGGAAAGUAUAAACAGCUAUCUAGUUAGUACCACAACAGAUGAUGCAAUGGCAGAAACUAAAGAGACUAUAAAUAGCUAUCAAGUUAGUGCUCCUUUGGAUGGAAGAGGUCAUGAUUCUGUAGCGAGUUCUGGGGCAGAUAGAAAUUUUGAGAUUAUAGCAGAUGCAGUAAAUGAUGCGGUCGGUGAUACAGAAUGUUCUGCAGGACUUGUGAUGGAGAAAUUUAUACUUGCCGAGGAUGUUAGGAUGAGUGACCCAUGUGGUUUAACAGUGUGUGCAGGUGAAGAGCCGGAGAGGAUUGAAGCUGUAGUUGCCCCAGAGUACAACACAGAGACUUAUGCUGCGAAGGAAAAGCAGGAGGCGGAGGUACAAUCUGAUGUCAAGGAUUUAUCUGAGCCAAAGGUAAAAACCAUUCCCUUCAUAAUUUUCUCUUUUGUUUGCAUUCCUUUUUAAACCUCUGAUUCCCAAAUCCAUCCCUCACUUGUAUUCUAUACCCUUGAUAAACCGCCCUCAGGUUUAGUUUCAUUUUCUUCCACAAGGUGCAGUUUUUACUGUAUUUAACUAAUAUCUAGAAAGUUAAUUUAGAAGACAUGAAAUGCUACAAUAAGUAUGUCUAGUGCAGUGCAGCAAUCUCUUCUCACACUAGUAAUGAUAAUAGCUUUCUGUAAUACCCCAAUAUAGAUUCACCGCUCUUUAAUUUAUCACCUUUUUUAAUGAUCAUGAAGUACUUAAUGAAGUCAGCAAUCGAUGCUGCGCUAGUCAACUCUUGGUUUUUGUUGGGAGGAUGCAUGACGGGAAAGUCAUACUGCAAAAACAUCUUUUCUAAAGUAUUUUGUUAUAAAUGUGAGUCAUGUUAAACUUGUAUUUUUGAAAUACUUGAAUCAGAUUACUAGAGUUGUGAUACAUUAUAUCAUAUGUAAUUAAAUAAACAUACAUUUUUCUAUUAUACAGUGUGGUUGAACAAGACCUUGUCAGGGGUUAAAAUAAAUUGAUGCUUUUAAGUAGUCUUGCUUAACAGACGUCUAAGACCUUUUAAUAGAACUAUUUAUAAUUGCAUGAUAGAAGUUUAUAUGUUACAUAUUUUAGUCAAUUUCUUGGUUAUCUAUGAGCUACUCCAUAAUUACAGAUUGAACAGGGUGACAAAGUAGCUCAGGCUGAUGAGGAGGCUACUCUUGAGAUUGGGCAGAGCUUGGUAGAGCCAUCCGUUCAGCAGUGCCAAACUCAGAUGGAGAAGGAGUUUGAAGCCUCUGAAAAAGUUGAACUUUCUGGCGAGCAGCUCCAAACUCGAGCAGGAGAAGAUUUGAACUCCAGAAGAAAGCAGCAGAGUGAGACUCAGAAUUUGGUGAAUGCCGUACAGGCAGAAGAUAGUGAAGUUCAUAAAUUUGAUAAUGUUGUUGGACCGGGUUUAUCUGAUGUGACUGGCGGACCUAAUCAGUGUAUAGGAAACAAUCAAGCAGCAAGCUCUGUGGCUCUUGAAGUAGCUGUUAGUUCUCCAUCCGAGGAGUCUGCCGAUGUGAAAGUGAGUCAGCUUGAUGUGCCAUUUUCAGGAGAUGAUAAACUUUUGACAGAAAUGAAGGCUUCUCAGAGUAGUGUGCAACCUGUUGGGUUAAAAUUAUGUGAAUCGCCUAUAAAAAUUGUUGCUCCCGCAAUCGAGGUUACAAGUGAUGCUAAAUCAUCAGAAUAUCAGGCUUCAAGUAGUAAAAGUAUACAUUUAACCCAACCAACAUUCCAAGCUUUAGAAACUACUCCACUAGCUAACGUUGAAAGCUUUGACAUGCAAACCCGGGAGGAAAGUAGUGGGAAGGUAAAGGAUAUUACAAAUGCUUCUUUGGAAGCUCCAGAGGGUGAUACAUCGACUGACAUCUCUGUGAUUCAAACUCUUGAAAGCGGAAAAGUUUCAGCUUUGUGUGAUAUGGAAACAAGUAUUGCCACUGAAGGCUCCAAUGAUACAAGUAAUUUAGCGUCGUCCAAUUUUGAAACUGAUCAGACUUCUGAUGCUGCCAAAGUUGGAAGUCCAGUUGAGAAGAUAUGUGCUGGAAAGCUGGAGGAGGUUCCUGAAGUUGAUGUUUUUGUUCAAGACAUAGCUGAUACUAAUAAAUCCACUGAGGAAUCUCUCAGAUCUAAAGAUGAGAUUCAGCAUGUUUCUGAAAAGUCUGUUGACACAAAGGAUUGUCUGGUGCAUAUUACUAAGGAAGCAGUAAGUUAUGUUGAAGGUAAUAUCAGAGCAGACGAUGCAGUGGUGGAAACAAGAGAACUUAUAAACAUUGAUCAAGUUAAUGCCACAAGAGAUAACGCAACGGUGGAAAGUAAAGAUAGUAGAAACAGCUGUCAAGUUAGUGCUGCUUUGGAUGGAAGAGGUGAUGAUCUUGUAGGGAGUUCUGCGCCAGAUAAAAAUAUUGAGACUAUUGCAGGGGCAAUAAAUGUGGUGGUCGGUAAUGCAGAUUGUUCUGCAGGGCUUGUGACGGAGAAAUUUAUACUUGCGAUGGAUGUUGAGAUGAGUGAUCCAUGUUUAACAGGCUGUGCUGGUGAGGAGGAGAGGACAGAUGAACCUGUAGUUGCCCCAGAGUACAAUACAGAGAUUAAUGCUGGUAAGGAAAAACAGGAGGCAGAGAUACAAUCAGAAGCCAAGGAUUUAUCUGAGCCAAAGGUAAAAACCACUCCCUCCAUUGUAAUGUAAAUUUACUCUUUUGUUUGGAAUAGUUUUUUAGAGUUCCGAUUCCCAAGUUCAUCCCUCACUUGAAUUCUCUUCCCUUGAUAAAUCUCUUCUUACACUGACCCUAGCAAUGAUAAUUGCUUUCCAUACUACCUUUUCCAAUGAUCAUGCUGUACUCAAAAAUGAAGUCAGCAAUUUAUCCUGCUAUAAUCAACUCUUGCUUUAUUUUGAGAGGAUGCAUGAGGUGAGAUUCGUACUGCGAAAGUAUCUGUUGUAAAGUAUUGUGUUAUCAAAGUAAAUCAUGUUAACUUGUAUAUCUGAAAUACUCAAAUUAUUUUACAAGAGCUGUGUACAUUAUUUUAUAUGUAACUACGAUUGAAAUUAGAACAUUUGUUGUUCCAUUAUACUUUGUGGUUGCAUAUUAAAGUUACAUUUUAGAUGCUCAAGAGUUUGUCGGGGGGUUAAAAUAAAAUAGACGCUUUAAGUAGUCUUGCUUAACAGACGUCUAAAACAUUCAAGUACUAGUAUAUUCUUUUGCUAGACUUUAAUGUUAAAAUGGUUCAUGGUUGUGUGAUAGAAGUUUAUAUGUUACAUUUUUAGUCAAUUUCUUGGUUAUUUAUGACAUGCUCCAUAAUUACAGAAUGAACAGUUUGACAAAGAAGCUCAGGGUGAUGUGGUGGAUACUGUUGAGAUUGGGCAGAGUUUCGAAGAGCCAUUUGUUCAGCAGUGCCAAACGCAGAUGGAGAAGGAAUUUGAAGCCUCUGAAACAGUUGAAAUUUCUGGCGAACAGCUGCAAACUCAAGCAGGAGAAAAUUUGAACUCCAGAAGACAGCAGCAGAAUGAGACUCAGAAUUUGGUGAAUUCCGUACAGGCAGAAGCUAGUGAAGUUCAUAUUGCUGAUAAUGUUGCUGGACCGGGUUUAUCUGAUGUGACUGUCGGCCCUUAUCAGUCUGUAGGGAACAAUCAAGCAGCAAGCUCCCUAGCUCUGGAAGUAGCUUCUAGGUCUCCAUCCAAGGAGUCUGCUGAUGUGAAAGUGAGUCAGCUUGAUGUGCAAUUUUCAGGAGAUGAUAAACUGUUGACAAAAAUUAAGGCUUCUCAUAGUAGUGUGGAACCUGUUGGAAUGGAAUUAUGUAAAUCACCUGCAAAAAAUGUAGCUCUCACAAUUGAGGUUACAAGUGAGACUCGAUCAUUAGAGUAUCAUUCUUCAGAAAGUGAGAGUGUACAGUUAACACAACCAACAUUUCAAGCAUUAGAAACUUC
rnacentral:lncRNA from 1 species